rnacentral:misc_RNA from 1 species
GCAAACUUGGUCAUUUAGAGGAAGUAAAAGUCGUAACAAGGUUUCCGUAGGUGAACCUGCGGAAGGAUCAUUAGUGAAUUAACCUGUGUGGGUUGUUGCUGACUCUUCGGGGUAUGUGCACACCUGCCGGUUUCAUUCAUCCCCUUCCACCUGUGCACUAUUUGUAGAUCACCUUGUCGUAUUUGACAUGCUCCCUGGGGCAUCUCAGCGUGAGGACUUGCUCUUCUUGCUGUCCUUGGAUGAGGUGGUCUAUGUCUUUAUCAACUCUGUAUGUUAUCGAAUGUCUGUUUUGGGUUCUAUACAGGCCCAUAAAAUCUUAUACAACUUUCAACAACGGAUCUCUUGGCUCUCGCAUCGAUGAAGAACGCAGC